CCAAAAGCCACCAUUAAAUUAAUUCUCUCCCCAGCUCUCUAUGACACAGUACUUCAAUAAGAAGAAGAAGAGCAAUAACAAGAAGAAGAAAAACAAGAGAGAGAGGUUGCAUUUAUACACAUAAGAGAAGAUAGUCACCUGUAUUCUCUCUUACAAACAACACAAAACAUGCAUGUCCUCCUGCUUACCUUCAUUCCUUCUUGUCAAUCUUUCUAAAGGUGAGAUAAGCUUCUUUGUGUUCUUCCUUCAAAGGGCCUCCUGAUUCCCAACAAAACCCAGACCUCACUCACCAUAUAUUUCCUUUUUUACUUCUUGUUUGGUUACAUGUUGGUUUGAGAGAUUGAAGCUGCCAGCAUGAUCUGGUAAAAAAUUACCUGCCACUCUAUGUAUAUAUCUAUUGAUAUACCGAUAGACUGAUUCUUAUUUUUAUAUAUAUAUUUUUUCCAGUUUUAGAUUUUUUUUUUUUUUAACCCUUAUAGAUCCAACAUGGAUUGAUUUUCAAAAGCAAGUUUUUUUUUACUCUAUUGAAAUUGGGAAGAAAGAAAGACUAAAUUUUAUGCUUACGGUAAAUGUUCUAUUGUGUGGUUGAGAGAUUUUAGGUCGGCCAAAUGACUGUAAUCCUAGCUAUUUAAUUAGUAAUUAAGCAUAAUAGAUAAAAGUUCCAUCAGGUCAUCUUGCAGCUUCAAUUACUCAUUCACCAACAAUGUUUGAAGAUAUAUAAUCUUGAAAUAAGGCUUAAUUUCUAAUGAAGUUUAGCGCUGCGUCUUAACCAUGCAAAGGCCACAGCCUCAAUAUUCCAGGAAAAUUGGCGACAGGAAAACGGUGUUCUUUAUAACUCUGCAGCCUUCGUAUAUAUAAUAUCAUGAGGAUAAUAUAUAUAUUUUGUCUUUACUUUGUUAUUUGUAUCUAGAAUUAACACAUAAAAACAAAUUCCCAAGACACAAGAAAGACAUGCUAGUUAGACAAAUCUUCAGGGUUAUAUUAUAUUCAAAGAUUGGUGUUCCCAAUACAGAAAAUAGCAAAUCUGUUUAUGAUAUUUCAAUAUCUAAUUGGAAUCCUCAUCAAACUAUAGGUUUCAUACUGUUUUCGAGGGUCUGAAAGCUGCAGGUAGAAGACACAGCAGGAACAUAAUAACUUGUUUGUACUUAAUUUCGUCAUUAAUUUGUGUUUUCGCUUUCCAGUUUAACUUAUAAUAACAGCAUUAAUUCACUGUUAAUUUAUUUAAUUACAGAGAGAAGAUUUUUAUUAAAAGACUCAAAGAUAUUUAUAUAGUCAAGAUUUUUCACUCCCACAUGUUAGGAUAACUUAUUCUUUCUAUUACUAAUUAUAAACAAUGAACAGAUUAAAAUUAAUUAAACUGAACAUAUAUAAGUGUGUGUGUUUAACAUGUAGAUCCAAUGGAUCUGCUGAACUUUGAUGAUCCAGUUCAUUUAGUGUGUUUUGUUUUCAGUUUGAUAUGUUGUUUAUUUGUGGAUAGUAAUGGGUUUUAUGGAAGUAAUAGAGAUGGUAUCAUUGAUAGUAAAUUUUCUUUCUUGUCAUAUACAUCUUCAUAUUAAAUAAUCUGUUAAAAUACAAGGGAAUUUGUUUCUCCUAAGGUACCCUCAGUGCCUUUUUGAGAAUGCUAAUUCUCCUCCCAAUUAGCAUCUAGCUCUUGCCGGCCAGCUGGCCAGAAGCAGUCAAAUACAUACCAUAUGCAAUGAACAAAAGUGCUAAAAUAGCUAGCAUGAAGUACUGUAAGAUUUAGUAAGUUAAAAAUGUACAAGUUCUAUAGGAAAAAUGAAGAUGAAGAAACAUGCAUAUCGGCAAUAUGGAUGUUAAGACUUGCAAGAGAAACUAGGAAACAUUAUUUCUGCUGGUGGAUUAUAUAUAUAAACUGAUUUAUAUAAUUUCAAAGAAGUUGCUAUCAUUCAUUAAUUUUUUAUGUUCAUUAAUUCAAUGGGAAAAGUGUGUAUCCGAUUAACCUUUGUCUCUGUGUAUGUGUGUGUGUGUGUGUGUAAUACAUAUACACUUGGGUAGGUAGAACUACGUAUGCUGUAUAAUUAAGAAUAUAAAUCCCGGUGUUUAUGGAGCAAUAAUUAUUAGAACAUGUAAACAAAUUGUAUUAAGAAGUCUAAGCUGCUGGGAUGUAUACAAACUUGGAGGCAUUAUAAGCUUUUCCUUCUCAUAUAUAUUCUUUCUACCUUUGGCAAUUAGCAACUUUAAUUCGUUUCUUUUCUUGACCUAUUUUUUUUUCUCCUGUUUAUUUAUUUGAUUUAGUUAAUUAAUUCAAACUAAUAAUCCCUCUCCAAGAAACCAACAAAACCAACCCUUACUAUUAUUUAUAGUAACCCUACCUGCUUUAGACGAUGCCCAGCACCCCAGUUGUUCUUCUCAGUAGUGAUCAUUUAGUUUUUUGAAUAUUUCUAAGAGACAUUUUCAUGAUAAUAAAUUGUCAUUAUUUAGAUAAUUUUGAAUUAAAAAUAAGUAAUAUUUAAUCAUAUAAUGACACAUUAUCUAAAUAUCAAUUUUGUAUAUUUAAAAUAUAUAUACAUAGUUUUAUUAUAUAUAUACACACACCCUCAAGGAGAAAUAUUUGGUGAUGUGACUUAUAAAAGGGGUAAUUUAUCAAAAGAAAUAGAGCUAAGAUCUCUUAAAUUAAGCUAUUACAAGACAAGUUUACUUGCUUUAGCUCAUGAGAUGCUCUUAUAAUUAGAGUUUAAUCAGUGUCAUUUAUUUCGAGUUGCUUAGCAUUGUAGAAGGUCAGCAGAUCACUGAUGAUAUGUAUAGUUGUAAUAUUAUUCUGUGAGAAAAGCUGAAACUAAAUAGUGCUCAUUCUAGAUGAUGAUCAUAAAUAUUAAGACUACUUCAAUUUUCUAUAUAUAUACGACUUGUAAAAGUAAUGAAAUUUGAAAGCAUUGAUGCAUCA